AGAGUUUGAUCCUGGCUCAGAACGAACGCUGGCGGCAGGCCUAACACAUGCAAGUCGAGCGAGACCUUCGGGUUUAGCGGCGGACGGGUGAGUAACGCGUGGGAAUAUGCCCUUCGGUUCGGAACAGCCCCGGGAAACUGGGAGUAAUACCGGAUACGGUCUACGGACGAAAGAUUUAUCGCCGAAGGAUUAGCCCGCGUUGGAUUAGGUAGUUGGUGGGGUAAUGGCCUACCAAGCCGACGAUCCAUAGCUGGUUUGAGAGGAUGAUCAGCCACACUGGGACUGAGACACGGCCCAGACUCCUACGGGAGGCAGCAGUGGGGAAUCUUAGACAAUGGGGGAAACCCUGAUCUAGCCAUGCCGCGUGA
rnacentral:rRNA from 1 species